UUCACGAGAGAUUCUACACUAGUUUGAUUCCAGCCAGCCGUAUGGCAAGCUGCUUAGGGUUCAUAAUUUCAGUUUUCCCCUUACUUUUCUCGUUUCUUGUUUUCAAAUUCAUUGUGUUUGGUCAAAUGAUUAUCUGAAAUCUUGUUAAUUAGGGUUCAUAAUUUCAAUUUCUGGAUGCUCAUGUAACAUUAAUUGCUAACAUUUUUUUUACUGAUCAACAGAAAUGGCGCCGACGACGAUUGCUGCAAGAUUUGUAUCUGGGACUCAGCAGAGGUUCUCAAGCAGUGGCAAAAAAUUCUAAGCGAGGAGGAAAAAAGCUGCUGAAGAUGUUUAUAUUAAGGGACCUAAACCAGAAGAAACAACUACUGCGAGCUCUGAGGCGGCAUCCAAACCUGUUGAGGCAAGCUCGGCAACCAAGGCCAAACCUGCUGCCUCGACGACCUCUGCUUCUGUUUCUGGAGAUUCAACUCGAACAGUACCAACCAACAAGAAUCGGAACUAUGCAGUUGUGUUGCUGCUCUAGGAUGGUAUCUCAGAGGCAGUGAGAAGAAGCAAGAAGUUCAGGACUGAGAAUAAUGUGGUCGACUUGAAAAAUUACACAAUAACCGCCGCAAGUCAGCGAUAAAUCUGAAUAUGUUCAUAUCUUUGUUGAUGUAUAGAAAUUCAAAUAUGAUAUUUUAAAAUAAUUUAGUAUUAAUACCUGUAGACUUGAACAAAUUGCAUUAUGAAAUAAUAGCAUGUAAUUUGGCA